AUACGUAGGGGGCGAGCGUUGUCCGGAAUGAUUGGGCGUAAAGGGCGCGUAGGCGGCGCGGUAAGUCUGGAGUGAAAGUCCUGCUUUCAAGGUGGGAAUUGCUUUGGAUACUGCCGCGCUUGAGUGCAGGAGAGGUUAUCGGAAUUCCCGGUGUAGCGGUGAAAUGCGUAGAGAUCGGGAGGAACACCAGUGGCGAAGGCGGGUAACUGGACUGCAACUGACGCUGAGGCGCGAAAGUGUAGGGAGCAAACAGGAUUAGAUACCCUGGUAGUCCACACUGUAAACGAUGAAUGCUAGGUGUAAGAGGUAUCGACCCCUUUUGUGCCGGAGUCAACACAAUAAGCAUUCCGCCUGGGGAGUACGGCCGCAAGGUUGAAACUCAAAGGAAUUGACGGGG
rnacentral:rRNA from 1 species